UUCGGACCUAGAGACCGGCGCACGGGUGCGUAACGCGUAUGCAAUCUACCUUUUACAGAGGGAUAGCCCAGAGAAAUUUGGAUUAAUACCUCAUAGUAUUAUUGAAUGGCAUCAUUUAAUAAUUAAAGUCACAACGGUAAAAGAUGAGCAUGCGUCCCAUUAGCUAGUUGGUAAGGUAACGGCUUACCAAGGCAACGAUGGGUAGGGGUCCUGAGAGGGAGAUCCCCCACACUGGUACUGAGACACGGACCAGACUCCUACGGGAGGCAGCAGUGAGGAAUAUUGGUCAAUGGGCGCAAGCCUGAACCAGCCAUGCCGCGUGCAGGAUGAAGCAUCUAUGGUGUGUAAACUGCUUUUGUACGAGAAGAAACACUCCUUCGUGAAGGAGCUUGACGGUAUCGUAAGAAUAAGGACCGGCUAACUCCGUGCCAGCAGCCGUGGUAAUACGGAGGGUCCAAGCGUUAUCCGGAAUCAUUGGGUUUAAAGGGUCCGUAGGCGGUUUUGUAAGUCAGUGGUGAAAGCCCAUCGCUCAACGGUGGAACGGCCAUUGAUACUGCAAGACUUGAAUUAUUGGGAAGUAACUAGAAUAUGUAAUGU
rnacentral:rRNA from 1 species